ACAGCGACUGAGGGUCAGACACGUUUAAUCAAACAGCAGCCCGAACACGUAUCAGUUAAUGUAGCUUCACACAUCACAGAGUGGAGUUCAUCUGUGGAGAGUAUCUGGAUCAACAGAACCUGGACCGAUCAGAACCUUCAGAUUAUCUUCUGUUUUCCAAAAUCACAAUCAAAAAUCCCACAGACGAUCCGGAGCUGCGCUGACUUCAGUUUCCACUCUUUGGCUCGUUGCUUGGAUGAGCUGCUCAAAAUGAAAAUGAUGCACAGCUCCGACCUCAUCGCUCAGAACCAGAACCUCGAUCGGCGAGGUGUUGAUGAGGUCCCGUGAUGGUCGACAGGGAGAGAUGAGUGUGGUCCCUGACCUCCCUGUCCAGAGGGAUACACACACACACACACACACACACACACACACACACACACACGUCCAGACA